rnacentral:rRNA from 1 species
GAUGAACGCUGGCGGCGUGCUUAACACAUGCAAGUCGAACGAUGAAGCCCAGCUUGCUGGGUGGAUUAGUGGCGAACGGGUGAGUAACACGUGAGUAACCUGCCCUUAACUCUGGGAUAAGCCUGGGAAACUGGGUCUAAUACCGGAUAGGAGCGUCCACCGCAUGGUGGGUGUUGGAAAGAUUUAUCGGUUUUGGAUGGACUCGCGGCCUAUCAGCUUGUUGGUGAGGUAAUGGCUCACCAAGGCGACGACGGGUAGCCGGCCUGAGAGGGUGACCGGCCACACUGGGACUGAGACACGGCCCAGACUCCUACGGGAGGCAGCAGUGGGGAAUAUUGCACAAUGGGCGCAAGCCUGAUGCAGCGACGCCGCGUGAGGGAUGACGGCCUUAGGGUUGUAAAGCUCUUUCGCCGGUGAAGAUAAUGACGGUAACCGGAGAAGAAGCCCCGGCUAACUUCGUGCCAGCAGCCGCCGUAAUAC